rnacentral:rRNA from 1 species
CCUACGGGGGGCAGCAGUAGGGAAUAUUGGUCAAUGGGCGAAACCCUGAAGCAGCCACGCCGCGUGGAGGAUGAAGGUUCUCGGAUUGUUAACCCUCUUUUUUAGAGAAACUAAUGACGGUAUCUAUCCUAUAAUCACUGUCGAACUCCGUGCCAGCACCGGUGGUAAUACGGAGGCUGCCAGCGUUAUUCGGAAUCACUGGGCGUAAAGCGCGUGUAGGCGGGAUAGCAAGUCAGAUGUGAAAUCCUUUGGCUGAACCAUAGAACUGCAUUUGAAACUGUUAUUCUAGAGUAUGGGAGAGGUAGGUGGAAUUCGUGGUGUAGGGGUGAAAGCCGUAGAGAUCAAGAGGAAUACUGAUUGCGAAGGCGGCCUGCUGGAACGUAACUGACGCUGAUGCGCGAAAGCGUGGGGAGCAAACAGGAUUAGAUACCCGAGUAGUC